CUACUGUCUGGUCUGUGUGCGUCUUCGAGAUUUGAUCAUUAUGCACAAACUUUGGGCUUAUGUUGAAGGUACUGAUUUAUAACCUGCUGUGGGGAAGGAAACGAAGCUGUAUUCAAGAGAGAAAUUUGGAGAUUUCAUGUAUUUGUUUGCUGGAGUGUAUUUUACUCUUGACGGGAAUGUUUUUGAGAUGUUCAUAGUCACAAAUUAAGAAAUGGGCAAUUGAUAGUCAAUUAUGAUUCAGGAAACAUUUGGCCUGAUGUAAACAUUUUUCUCUCAUGAUCAUUUGGUUGUAUCAUUUUUUCUUUUUAUGUGCAUAAAGAUAGAUAACGUCGAGGAUUCAAUAUACGAAUUUUUGGAGGUGAA